rnacentral:rRNA from 1 species
UACAGAGGGUGCGAGCGUUAAUCGGAAUUACUGGGCGUAAAGGGCGCGUAGGCGGUAAUGCAAGUUAGAUGUGAAAUCCCCGAGCUUAACUUGGGAACUGCAUUUAAGACUGCAUUGCUUGAGUAGAAUAGAGGUAAGUGGAAUUUCCGGUGUAGCGGUGAAAUGCGUAGAUAUCGGAAAGAACACCAGUGGCGAAGGCGACUUACUGGAUUCAUACUGACGCUGAGGCGCGAAAGCAUGGGGAGCAAACAGG